GAGUGAGUUGGGACAAACAGAAGCCUGAGGGUUGUGCCACAGCCAGGCCCCCACAGAGUCACAUCAGAAGUUCCAUCCUUCGGGGACUCUGUGGUGUCUGCUGUGGGUUGCAGGACCUUGUGGUUCUCUCUUGGUCACAAGGUCCACCCAGCACCCAUCUGCCACAGUGGUCCCUCCUGCUGCUACCCCGUGGCUCUGGCAACCUAGCCCCAUACUUGCCUGUGCCUGAGGCGAGGUGGAACCCUCGCCCCCACUGCACCCCACCCCAGUCUGAAUCCUGCUGCUGGUCCUACAGCUUUCUAGAAGGGAAACAUCUGUUAGCAUUUUUAUCUUCCAUGGCUGUAAUGCAGGUCGGACAAGGUGACACCCUUUGUCAGGUCUUCCUUUUCUGUCCCUCCGGCUGAUAUUUUACUUGGUGGACAUCCAGUCCCUUCACUUCACGCCUCACUGUCCUAUUCAGGCUACUGUGACCUGCAAUUCUCCAAAGAGAGAGGGGAAGAGCUCGAGGGAGAGAGAGAAUGAAUCAGAUGAGUCACUGCUCUGAAGAAAGUUUCAAAGAGCACAGGCCACAACUAAACAGGCCAAAGACAACGGCGGCCAGCGGCCAAGGCAAGGGGAGAGCUUGGCAAGUGCCAGGCACCUGUCAAAGCUCUGUCCCACACACGAUCCCAGUCUCGUGGGGGUACAGAGCUGCUGGGGUGCAGGAGCCCGACCUUCAGCUGCAGUGUGGUGCGGUAGGAGCCGGGCAGAGUUCCUUCCCAGCAAGACUUUUAAGAUCAUGUAACACCUGAAACUAAUCUCCCUCAAAUCACUGGAGACAACAGCAGUACUGCACAGAGGCCCCCUCAGAGGCGCUGAGACUGCAGCGGCGGGAAUGGAGACCACUACAGCCCACGUGGCAGUGCCUCACCUCUCGACUCAAUCUCCCUGAUGCACAUGUCCACCACCAUGGGCCGCUUAGUGAUGUGCGCUUUCACGAGCGUCGUGAGGUCGCAGCUGUACACUUUCUUCACAUGCUUCAAGUCUGGCUUGCAGUCAUUGGGGACCAUC